rnacentral:rRNA from 1 species
CAGCAGCCGCGGGAAUACGUAGGGUGCGAGCGUUAAUCGGAAUUACUGGGCGUAAAGCGUGCGCAGGCGGUUGUGUAAGACAGGUGUGAAAUCCCCGGGCUUAACCUGGGAACUGCGCUUGUGACUGCACAGCUAGAGUAUGGCAGAGGGGGGUGGAAUUCCACGUGUAGCAGUGAAAUGCGUAGAUAUGCGGAGGAACACCGAUGGCGAAGGCAAUCCCCUGGACCUGUACUGACGCUCAUGCACGAAAGCGUGGGGAGCAAACAGGAUUAGAUACCCCCGUAGUCCCUGUCUCUUAUAC